rnacentral:pre_miRNA from 1 species
UUCAAUUGUAGUUAUGAAUUUUCAUAUCCAAAGUUUGAUCGUCCGUUUUAUUUGAAUUCUUUUUACGAUUGAAUAGUACUUUAUGUGUACUUUUUUUUUAAUUUUUCGUAUUUUUUUAAAUAAGACGGACAGUUAAUCGUUUGAUACGAAAACUCACCACUACACUUAAA